rnacentral:rRNA from 1 species
AUUGAACGCUGGCGGCAGGCCUAACACAUGCAAGUCGAACGGUAACAGGAAGAAGCUUGCUUCUUUGCUGACGAGUGGCGGACGGGUGAGUAAUGUCUGGGAAACUGCCUGAUGGAGGGGGAUAACUACUGGAAACGGUAGCUAAUACCGCAUAACGUCGCAAGACCAAAGAGGGGGACCUUCGGGCCUCUUGCCAUCGGAUGUGCCCAGAUGGGAUUAGCUAUAGGGUGGGGUAACGGCUCACCUAGGCGACGCUCCCUAGCUGGUCUGAGAGGAUGACUAGCCACACUGGAACUGAGACACGGUCCAGACUCCUACGGGAGGCAGCAGUGGGGAAUAUUGCACAAUGGGCGCAAGCCUGAUGCAGCCAUGCCGCGUGUAUGAAGAAGGCCUUCGGGUUGUAAAGUACUUUCAGCGGGGAGGAAGGGAGUAAGGUUAAUACCUUUGCUCAUUGACGUUACCCGCAGAAGAAGCACCGGCUAACUCCGUG